GCGGGCAGUUUGACUGGGGCGGUCGCCUCCUAAAAGGGAACGGAGGCGCUCAAAGGGUCCCUCAGAAUGGUUGGAAAUCAUUCAUAGAGGGUAAAGGCAUAAGGGAGCUUGACUGCGAGACCUACAAGUCGAGCAGGGGCGAAAGACGGACUUAGUGAUCCGGUGGGUCCGCAUGGAAGGGCCAUCGCUCAACGGAUAAAA
rnacentral:rRNA from 1 species